UAGUCCACGCCGUAAACGAUGAAUACUAGGUGUCAGCCCUAAGGGGGUUGGUGCCGCAGCUAACGCAAUAAGUAUUCCGCCUGGGGAGUACGGUCGCAAGACUGAAACUCAAAGGAAUUGACGGGGACCCGCACAAGCAGCGGAGCAUGUGGUUUAAUUCGAAGCAACGCGAAGAACCUUACCAAAUCUUGACAUCCCGAUGACCGAUACUUAAUCGUAUCUUCCACUUCGGUGGCAUCGGUGACAGGUGGUGCAUGGUUGUCGUCAGCUCGUGUCGUGAGAUGUUGGGUUAAGUCCCGCAACGAGCGCAACCCUUAUAUUUAGUUGCCAGCAGGUUAAGCUGGGCACUCUAGAUAGACUGCCGUGGACAACACGGAGGAAGGCGGGGAUGACGUCAAAUCAUCAUGCCCCUUAUGAUUUGGGCUACACACGUGCUACAAUGGUUGGUACAACAGGAAGCGAAAGGGUGACCUGGAGCAAAUCCUCUAAAGCCAAUCCCAGUUCGGAUUG
rnacentral:rRNA from 1 species